ensembl:snRNA U6 U6 spliceosomal RNA
GUGCUUGCUUUAGCAGCACAUAAACCAAAACUGGAAUGAUACAAGGAAGAUUAGCAUGGUCCCUGUGCAAGGAUGACAUGCAAAUUCAUGAAGCCUUUUGUAUUUAU